rnacentral:rRNA from 1 species
UUACGGCCAUAUCAGGUUGAAACACUGGUUCUUGUACGAUCAUCAACGUUAAGCAACUUCAAGCUUGGUCAGUACUUCAAUGGAUGACCGCUUGAGAAUACCAGGUUG